UACGUAGGGUGCAAGCGUUAAUCGGAAUUACUGGGCGUAAAGCGUGCGCAGGCGGUUAUGUAAGACAGUUGUGAAAUCCCCGGGCUCAACCUGGGAACUGCAUUUGUGACUGCAUAGCUAGGGUACGGUAGAGGGGGAUGGAAUUCCGCGUGUAGCAGUGAAAUGCGUAGAUAUGCGGAGGAACACCGAUGGCGAAGGCAAUCCCCUGGACCUGUACUGACGCUCAUGCACGAAAGCGUGGGGAGCAAACAGG
rnacentral:rRNA from 1 species